UACGAAGGGUGCAAACGUUGCUCGGAAUUACUGGGCGUAAAGGGCGCGUAGGCGGCCUUCUAAGUCAGACGUGAAAUCCCCCGGCUUAACCUGGGAACUGCGUCUGAUACUGGGAGGCUUGAGUAUGGGAGAGGGAUGUAGAAUUCCAGGUGUAGCGGUGAAAUGCGUAGAUAUCUGGAGGAAUACCGGUGGCGAAGGCGGCAUCCUGGACCAUAACUGACGCUGAGGCGCGAAAGCUAGGGGAGCAAACGGG
rnacentral:rRNA from 1 species